rnacentral:lncRNA from 1 species
GAAAAGUCUAGUCUAACUCACAAAUGCAUCCUUAUUCUCAUGUAUAUUUGAUACUGGCCCCAGUCUAAUCUGAUAAAGUGCACUUUGCCUGUGGUGUCUUACAAUAAGCCGGCUGCAUUAGUGCCGGGAAAAAUCAAUACCGAUUUAUAAUUUACCAUCGCAAAAACCUAUCACUUUUUAUGACCCUCCAUCCUGGCUCAUUAAUAUUACAUUAAAACACACACACCCACUGAAACAGGGGGGAACUGUAGCUUGUCAGGCUUCCAGCCACUAAAAAAAAAAAAAAAAAAAAAAAAAACCAAAACAAACAAACAAACAAACAAAAAAACAAAAAACCCUUUAAUUGGGCUUAGUUUGGAAAUCCAGAUAGAGAUUUUUUUUUUCUCUAUUUGUUUUAUUUUUAAUGUAGGGAUGUUGCCUAGCAUGGAUUUUUAAGAUGCACAAAUACCUAUACAUUUCUCUGAAGAGCAUAUCAGAAUUUCUGACACAUGUUUUCCUAUAGUUCUUAUGAUAAUAACCGGUCCUUAUAGCAUCCUCAGCUCUUCUCCAGCCUCCAGGGUCUUCCCUUUCCUCCCGUGUGUGCCAGUGUGGAACUGGCUUCUUUCUGUACACAGCAGCCUUCUGGCCAAGCUGGUCUUUUUCUUAUCUUUGUGGUUGUCACAGUUGGUAUUUACUCCACAUCCCCCUCCCUGCCCCCAACCCUUGGCUCAGAUCACGGAGGAGCUAAAUGCCACCCUUUGCAUUGUCUGCCUCCCAGAGAAAGGAUGAGGAUUUUAUUUUCCUUCCACACUGGCUGGAGAAAAUUCCUCUGACCUGGCUCUGUAACUGAGCCAUUCAUAGUCCCUACUGUUCCCCGGCAGAGAACACCAGACUCUGUAGGUGAGAAUGUGUGCAUGUGUGCACAUGUGUGUGUGUGUGCAUGCAUGCCUCUCUUUAAUUCUUUCACCUUAAAGAAAUCCUAAAAGAAAAAAUUAAACAAUAGUAUUUCCUUGAUCAACUUUAUUAAGCUAUUAAGCAGUUUUGACCUCGUGGGUUUUUAGACUUAAAAGUCCUAUCCAAAUUCUUUCCAGAUAAUGUAAAAAAAGAAAAAAAAUGAUGUCAUUGUUUAUGUUGGCAGUGGUGACAAGCUCUAUUUAUUCCAUGCUAUUCAAAUAGUUUCCAGGGAAUUUUUCCGGUUUUUUUUUUUUUUAAAUAAAAUCACAAAAAUCCAACCUUCCGACUCACUUGCCCCUUUCCCUGGCUGACUUAAAGGGGAAGGGUUUCUUGUCUCAGAGAGGGAAGUGGGAAGCAGCAACAAAUAAAUAAAAAGUCAGGAACGGGGAAUUCAUUGUGUUCUCAAGUGUGCAGUGGAUCCACACCACGCAGCGAAUGCAUGUCGUGAUUGGGUUUUUAAAAGACGUCCGACUCGCCCCUGACUGACAGGGCCUAUUGAUUUUUUAGGUUUCUGCCGUCAUCGGUUUCCAGCCUCACAGCGGCCGCAUGUCGGGGGUCAGGGCGCACCGGGGCGCAGUGAGCCAGCCCUCGCCACUUCCCAAAGUGAAGGGCUGCUGAAAGAAAAUCAAUCAUGUCAUAAGUGAGAAGCAUCAAAAAUUUUCUCUCUGUACGGCCAAGGCCCAUCAGCCUGUCUUCGCUCAGUAGCUAAGGUUAGGCAUCUGUCAAGUCAGACUAGGUGAAAAGUAUUAGAGAUGCCAGUUAACCCAUGGCUGGACUGUAGACGGGUGCGAGGCUGGUCUCUUCCCUUUGUCUGACCAUCUGGAUUGACAAGGUUGGCAGUUUUGCUUGAUUUUGGAGCUGGAAUCACCCAUUUCCCCUCCCAGUAGCUUCUGUCUACACUUCACUCUCCUCCACAAGGCAAAAAGGACAGGGCCCCAGACGCUGUUGGCUUGUAACUUUAACUAUAGACUCAGUGGAUUUGUUCCCUCUGGUCUCGACACUGGGCAUUUUAGGUUCUUCUAAUAUGAAAGUGUGUUUUGAUUCUAUGUGUUUAUCUGUGUGUUUAUGUGUGUGUGCACAUGUGUGUGUACCGUGACAUGUGUUCAGGUCAGAAGACAAUUUUCAGGAGUCAGUUCUCUUCUUCCACCAUGUGACUUUCAGGGAUCAAACUCAGGUCCCCCAGCUUGGUGACAAAGUACUUCUAAGUCAAGCCAUCUCUCUGGCCCUACUCACUAUUUUAUAAGCCUGCAUUCUUUAGUGCUUCUAGCAGUGUUCACCAUGGGAAAAGAGGCCUGUAUUAGGAUUUGUCUCAGAGCUGCAGGAGCACAACACAGAUUGCUUCUUCAUCUCAGUGACAGAAUUUAUGUGUGUGGCAAAAUCCACUUCCAGCUUACUUCUUCUGGCUUCCAAAUGCACAUUCUUUAGUGCUUAUAAACAUUAAAUUGUCUAUAGGAAAAGAGCCUGAUAAAGAUACGGAAGAAGAAAUUGAGAGAAAGUCAUUUUCCUUUGGGGCUUUGGCUAUUAGGUGGUUCCCUGUGCCCCAGUGGAUGAGCCAGUAGAGAAUCAUAUGGGCAGGACUAAUUGGGCUCAAUGG